rnacentral:rRNA from 1 species
CUUUUUGGGGUAUAUAAAGUCGGGCCUGCCCACUGAAAAUUUGAAGGGCCGCGGUAUUCUGACCGUGCAAAGGUAGCAUAAUCAUUAGUCUUUUAAUUGAGGGCUGGAAUGAAUGGUUUGACGAAGUAUAAACUGUCUCUGUAUAAAAAUAUAAAAUUUAACUUUUGAGUCAAAAGGCUUAAAUUUAGAUAAAGGACGAGAAGACCCUAUAGAGUUUUAUAUAAUUUAUAAUUAAAUCCUUAUAGUAUUGGUGGAAUUUAAUUGUAAAGUAUAUUUGGUUGGGGUGACUAAAAGAUAAAAUGAACUCUUUAUGUGUAUAAACAUUAAUUUAUGAUUUAAUGAUCCAUUUAUAGUGAUUAGAAGAUAUAAUUACCUUAGGGAUAACAGCGUAAUUUUUUUUGAGAUUCUUAUCGACAAAAAAGUUUGCGACCUCGAUGUUGGAUUAAGAAAAUGAUUUGAUGUAGCAGUUAAA